GACGAACGCUGGCGGCGUGCUUAACACAUGCAAGUCGAACGGAAAGGCCCUGCUUUUGUGGGGUGCUCGAUUGGCGAACGGGUGAGUAACACGUGAGUAACCUGCCCUUGACUUUGGGAUAACUUCAGGAAACUGGGGCUAAUACCGGAUAGGAGCUCCUGCUGCAUGGUGGGGGUUGGAAAGUUUCGGCGGUUGGGGAUGGACUCGCGGCUUAUCAGCUUGUUGGUGGGGUAGUGGCUUACCAAGGCUUUGACGGGUAGCCGGCCUGGGAGGGGUGACGGGCACAUGGGGACUGAGAUACGGCGCAGACUCCUACGGGACGCAGCAGUGGGGAGUAUUGCACAGUGGGCGGAAGCGUGAUGCAGCAACGCCGCGUGCGGGAUGACGGCCUUCGGGUUGUAAACCGCUUUGGCCUGUGACGAAGCGUGAGUGACGGUAAUGGGUAAAGAAGCACCGGCUAACUACGUG
rnacentral:rRNA from 1 species